AUCGCUUCUCGGCCUUUUGGCUAAGAUCAAGUGUAGUAUCUGUUCUUAUCAGUUUAUAAAUCCCCUGAGCACUUGAUGUUGGGAUAUGGUCUGUCUGAAUCAAGGCUGGAACAUUUUUCUCUUUUGUGUCCUUUUCGGAACAUAUCAAUUUACAUUAAAUGUUCUACAUCUAAUUAUACAUUAUUUUCU